AUGCAUCACCAUGCCCUUCCCCUCGCCACCUUGUCUAUAAAUUCAGUAAGCUGCUGGCUCAAUAUCAUCACUUCAUCAGCUCAUCCACCAACUGAGAGUUGCGACAAGCUCACUCCUUCAAGUUCUCACAAAGACAGAGAGCCAACCAUGGCCGGUGCCAAGAGACUUUCUCAACUGGCAAAGAAGUGGCAGAGGGUGGAAGCACUCGGGAGGAAGAGGCUCACAGGGUCAGCCAAAGAGGAUCAAGACUGCUGCAGUUUUGUACCAGCCAAGGGCCACUGUGUCAUUUACACGGCCGACGGGACGCGUUUCGAGGUGCCCUUGGUGUACCUCAGCACCACGGUCUUCAGCGAGCUCCUGAGGAUAUCUCAGGAGGAGUUUGGCUUUGCAAACAAAGGCAAGAUCACACUGCCUUGUGAUGCUGCAGUGAUGGAGUAUGUCAUGUGCUUGCUCAGGAGAAAUGCCUCCAUCGAGGUCGAGAGUGCAUUGCUCAGCUCUAUGGUGACGUCUUGCCACUACACUGGCUGCGCCAUGCCUACUGUUGGAGCCAGCCAACAGAUUUGCUGUUUGUAG
rnacentral:rRNA from 1 species